rnacentral:rRNA from 1 species
UUCGCCCUUGGGAAUUUUCCGCAAUGGGCGAAAGCCUGACCGGAGCAAGACCGCGUGAGGGAGGAAGGCUCUUGGGUUGUAAACCUCUUUUCUCAGGGAAGAAGCUCUGACGGUACCUGAGGAAUCAGCCUCGGCUAACUCCGUGCCAGCAGCCGCGGUAAUACGGAGGAGGCAAGCGUUAUCCGGAAUUAUUGGGCGUAAAGCGUCCGCAGGUGGCGAUUCAAGUCUGCUGUCAAAGCACGGGGCUUAACUCCGUUAAGGCAGUGGAAACUGAAUAGCUAGAGUGCCGUAGGGGUAGAGGGAAUUCCCGGUGUAGCGGUGAAAUGCGUAGAGAUCGGGAAGAACAUCGGUGGCGAAAGCGCUCUACUGGACGGCAACUGACACUCAGGGACGAAAGCUAGGGGAUCGAAUGGGAUUAGAUACCCCAGUAGUCAAGGGCGAAUUCGU